CCUACGGGAGGCUGCAGUGGGGAAUAUUGCACAAUGGGGGAAACCCUGAUGCAGCAACGCCGCGUGAGUGAAGAAGUCUUUCGGUAUGUAAAGCUCUAUCAGCAGGGAAGAAAAUGACAGUACCUGACUAAGACGCCCCGGCCAACUACGUGCCAGCAGCCGCGGUCAUACGUAGGGGGCAAGCGUUAUCCGGAUUUACUGGGUGUAAAGGGAGCGUAGACGGGGAUGCAAGUCUGAAGUGAAAGGCGGGGGCCCAACCCCCGGACUGCUUUUGAGACUGUAUGGCUGGAGUGCAGGAGAGGUAGGUGGAAUUCCUGGUGUAGCGGUGAAAUGCGUAGAUAUUAGGAGGAACACCGGUGGCGAAGGCAGCUUACUGGACUGUAACUGACGUUGAGGCUCGAAAGCGUGGGGAGCAAACAGGAUUAGAUACCCGGGUAGUC
rnacentral:rRNA from 1 species